CCCGGGUCUUGUACACACCGCCCGUCACACCAUGGGAGUUGAUUGCACCAGAAGUAGGUAGCCUAACCGCAAGGAGCCGCCUAGGGUAAAACUGGUGACUGGGGCU
rnacentral:rRNA from 1 species